rnacentral:rRNA from 1 species
UACGUAGGGCGCAAGCGUUGUCCGGAAUUAUUGGGCGUAAAGAGCUCGUAGGCGGUUUGUCGCGUCUGCUGUGAAAACCCGGGCUCAACUCGGGCCUGCAGCCGAUACGGGCAGACUAGAGUUCGGCAGGGGAGACUGGAAUUCCUGGUGUAGCGGUGAAAUGCGUAGAUAUCGAGAGGAACACCUGCGGCGAAGGCGGGUUGCUGGGCUGACACUGACGCUGAGGCGCGAAAGCUAGGGGAGCGAACGGG